CGCAUAGGAAAAUUUAACAAUCUCAUUCACUCUACUAAUAGGACUGUACGGAAUCAAAGCUUUAAUCCAAUGUGCUUUUUUCGUGGUUGGAAAUCGGAAGCUCUGGAUGCUCGAUACGACGAAAAGGUGCUGCUUAUCUUAAAAAUACAUUGCUCAUCACCGCAACAAAAACGAUUAUUUAAAAAGUAAUUUUAUCUAUGCUUCUUCAUAACAUUUUACUAUAAGUGUUAUUUUAGAACAUUAAUAUUUUAUAACACUACGUAGAAUAAAAUAUAUUUCAAUAUCUUAUAGUUGAUGGAUAAUAAAAUUCUUAAUUCCAUUUCUGCUUCAAAAACAAAAAAUCUAACAAAUUUCUUUGUAAUGCAAGGUUCAUGCAUUUUCAUAUCGCUGUACGUUCAAAGGUAUUAUUACACGUUACAAAUAAUCGCAAACUUAACGAGUUUAUAUUCUCCAGGUCUGUGACUGGUUCAAAUUACCUGGCUGUGGUUAUUUCUGCAACUGGCUGCUGAUUCUACGGAUUUCGGCUUCCAACAGGACUGGCCACUCCUGAUUGGAAUUCAUUUAAGUUCGUCGAUACCUGAACAAUGAACUUCCACAUCGCCUGAUUGGGCGUGUUGGUGACAUGUUGAAAGGCGAGGGAAGUAGCAGGAAUGCAGGAAUUUGCAUCAAUGUAAAAACUGAUUUAAAAAUGUGAUUGGUAAAGGAACAGCUGCAAUUUGAAUUCGGCUCUCCUCUGUCAAGCUGAUGUAACAUUGUAAACAUUGUAAUCCGAAUGAUUUCUAUUAAAAGAGACUGGAAUCAUUCAACACGACAGGACCUGACAGAUUUUGGUAUUCCUGACUUCAAUGACGGGGACAUGACUGACAUUUGUAUUCCGGUUAAAAAUAAUAUGAUUGCAUAUGCCUUGAAUUUUAUCAAUAUUUCAAGUUUCUUCAAGUAUUAUAUGGAAUUUCAUUAACAUCAGACAUAAAAAAAAAAACUUGUAUUUCUUGAA